UGUAAGUCGAACGGGACUCGGGGGGCAACUCUCGAGUUCAGUGGCAGACGGGUGCGUAACACGUGAGAAACUUGUCCAUCGGUGGGGGAUAGCCGGCCCAACGGCCGGUUAAUACCGCGUACGAUCGUUUAGGGGCAUCCCUGAACGAUGAAAGCAUCGCAAGAUGCGCCGGCGGAGAGUCUCGCGGCCUAUCAGCUAGUUGGCGGGGUAACGGCCCACCAAGGCGACGACGGGUAGCUGGUCUGAGAGGAUGGCCAGCCACAUUGGGACUGAGACACGGCCCAGACUCCUACGGGAGGCAGCAGUGGGGAAUCUUGCGCAAUGGCCGCAAGGCUGACGCAGCGACGCCGCGUGUGGGAUGACGGCCUUCGGGUUGUAAACCACUGUCGGGAGGAACGAAUACGCGCUUCGUGCGCGGGUGACGGUACCUCCAAAGGAAGCACCGGCUAACUCCGUGCCAGCAGCCGCGGUAAUACGGAGGGUGCGAGCGUUGUCCGGAAUCACUGGGCGUAAAGGGCGCGUAGGUGG
rnacentral:rRNA from 1 species